GAUGAACGCUGGCGGCGUGCUUAACACAUGCAAGUCGAACGAUGAAGCCCAGCUUGCUGGGUGGAUUAGUAGCGAACGGGUGAGUAACACGUGAGUAACCUGCCCUUAACUCUGGGAUAAGCCUGGGAAACUGGGUCUAAUACCGGAUAGGAGCGUCCACCGCAUGGUGGGUGUUGGAAAGAUUUAUCGGUUUUGGAUGGACUCGCGGCCUAUCAGCUUGUUGGUGAGGUAAUGGCUCACCAAGGCGACGACGGGUAGCCGGCCUGAGAGGGUGACCGGCCACACUGGGACUGAGACACGGCCCAGACUCCUACGGGAGGCAGCAGUGGGGAAUAUUGCACAAUGGGCGAAAGCCUGAUGCAGCGACGCCGCGUGAGGGAUGACGGCCUUCGGGUUGUAAACCUCUUUCAGUAGGGAAGAAGCGAAAGUGACGGUACCUGCAGAAGAAGCACCGGCUAACUACGUG
rnacentral:rRNA from 1 species